UUUGGAGUUUUUUUUUUCCAAAAUAGGCCUGAUUAUGACGAUUACAACUCAACUUCAACUUUUUGAAUCGUUAUACCUAAGAAACGGUGGGUCUUAGGAAAAAAAGUGUCAUGACACUUUUUAUAUAUAAUUCUGGUCUACAAUUCUUGCAUUGAAAAUUUUUUUUUGCUGUUUUGCUGAAAAUCGUGAAAAACCAGUUUUUGUGACCUUCGACCCCCCCUAUAUUUUUUUCCAGACCUCGGAUGGAUGAGGACUUUUUAAAUUUAAUUUAUGAUGGUGUUUCCAACAAUCCUACCAAUUUUCAGCUUGCUGGGAAUUAAUGUAACCUCGGAUGUCUAAAUUGACCGGACUAUAAUAUCGCAGAAGCACGUUAAGCAAUUCAUACCUUUUUUUGAAAUAAAAAAGUGAGGAAGCUUUCUUUUGGCGUCGAUCCUUCAAUAUACCGAACAACUAUUGUUAGCUGAUCGAUAUGCGAUUCGUCGGGAGUAGAGUCCACUGAAACCGAAUAGUAUUUAGAUUUUUUUAUUCUGGACACUAUUUCAGAAAGCACUUUGUCACCCAUAGAGCUGAUAAGUUCUUCGCAAAUCGUGGAGGAAAGGUAGCUGACAUGACCACUUCCUUUGUUUGCAUGCUCUUUCAAAAUUCCAAGAAAAUUCCAUUUCUCGGUGAACCAAUGAUGAUUGUCGCCUCGAAAGGCUAACCCACGUUCAGCAAUGAAUUUGAUAGUACAAUAGACAAUAAUUCUAAGGAUGUUUUGCCAAUACUGGAUUUGUUCUGCCUCUUGUAUCCUCAGCUCUUGAUCGAUCCGUCCUGUGAUUGUUCCUCUUUGGACUAAAUUCAUUACUGAUUCCAAAUAGGUCUUUGAAAUCUAAUGUUCGUGUAGACGAUCAGAAUGUUUCCAGUCACUGAAGCCUUCUCCACUGAGUUUGGUGUUUUGAUUGGACAUUAACUUACACGCGUAACAGUAUAAUUUACCCAUAGUUGGAGAAAAGCAAAGCCAGAAUCUAUUUACGGUCUCUUGAUUUUUAUUGUUACGUGUAAACAGUUGAAACUAUCUCGUGACUGAUCUUGUAGAGCUGAAUUCUGCAGAGAUACUGCAGAGAGUUUUGUAGAACCAAUAAUCGAUCAUCUCAUUUGUGAUCCUCUCAGGCCAAAGACCAAUAUCAUUUUUGAGACCAAAAAGUUCUUCUUUCUCUCGUGUAUUGGCGUCUGAUGAAACUUCUGGAUGAUCUUGGGUAUUAUCCAAAUCAUCUUCAUCUACGGUGGAUUCACCUAGUGUUUUGUUGAGAUUUUGAAGGAGCUCUUCUUUAUUUGAUGAAGUAAAAUGACUGGUCAAUGAUGGGUGUAAAAUUUUUUUUUACAAAAAACAAAAACCAUUUUUAUAGUCUAAGCUAAUUUUUAAUAUCAUAACAACUAACAUAAGUUGCAGCGUUCUUAUUUUAUAAGCGUUUGAAGAAAGCCAUAUUCAUUUUUUUUAUGAUUUUUAGACCAAAGUUGGAAAUUUUUUUGUUUAUUUAUUUUUUAUGAUUAUUUCGGUUUGUAAUGUUAUUUCAUGUUUUUUGGUACCUUUCUCUGAAAAGUACCUCACGUAGAUCUUGAAAUAUAAACAUUUUAAUGCAAACAUGUCAAAUAAUUUUUCAUUUAUUUUUUCUGAGGGAGCAUUUUAAAUCUCAUUAUCUUCGAUUUUUUCACUCAAUAUUUUUGGAAAAUUUUAAUGGAAACUAUAAAACUGCACAAAAUAAACAUUUCUGUAUAAAUUAUUUUCCACAUUUGACAAGCAGAACGAAGUUUAAAAUGACCCUGCAAACCAAACCUCAGUAGUUUAGGGGAAAUUACAACCACCAACAAAGUCUUUACUUUGUAGAUGUAUGCGUUUCCUUAUUUACCAAAACCUCUCCCCUCAAAAUAUUGUAGUUUUGUUUCUCCUGAAAAAAAUAAACUCUUUGGUAAAUGGGAGGAAAAGAGUGCGAUGUAUGCAAUGCUCAAGGUUUUCUCUCUUUUGUAAUGGCGACUCGACAUUUUCCUGCAUUUCUAGUGAAACCUUGAUAGCCACAGCAACAUUAGCUAAGCAAAAAAAAUCAUUUCUGUGCUCCAAAAUAAAACAAUUUAAUUUGAAGAAAUAAAUAUCGUCUUAAUCAGUGUUAUUUGUGAAAAUUAUUUUCAAUACACAAUGUAUAGUAGCACAUAAAUUCUUCGGCAUGCCACAAAAAUUCCACCACCAUUUCUUUCCAUCAUCAAAAUGCACAACCUCAGCCUUGUGCAUUUAGAAAAAUUAAAAUUAAAAAAAAAUUAUACAAAAACCACAACCCAUGGAUUUGGAAAAUAUAGGCAUGCUUAUUUUAAAAUUAAUAAAUUAGGUAUAUAAUUGUUGAUUUUUCUGUCUUCUAGUGGAGAUCAAUUCCAGACAUCAAUGACUGAGUUUACAGUUCGAAAUUUUCCUCCACUCCAUCCAGAACGAGUGAAACGAAUCUUAUGUUUAGUAGAGACUACAAUACCUGAGUGUGAUCCUCAUUUCACAGACUUGUAGUGUCUGCACCCUCCGACCACUUGUUGAUGUGUUCGCUCUAAUCCUAGACAAAAUCAACAUUCAACAAUUCUAUGUCCUUGCUCGCCACACUAUUGGAUGCAGUCCGUUCGAGUGGCAAUCAAGAUGUGCAAGUUCGUAUUACAAAUACAUUGCGAGGAAAGCAUUUUGUUCCCCUCAACAGUUGUGUGCAUGAAGCGAUUUAAGAUUUAAGAGAAAUUCAACGCCAACAUUCUUCAUAGAAGUCUGAAGUAAAGUGUCACACAAGACGUUCAUGUUUUGAUAUACAAUUCGACUGAAUAAAUCUAAAUCUCUAACCAAAAUUUUAACUUCAGAGUUUAUUUGUAAUUUCAUUUGUAGUUUCAAAAGGUUUAGAUUUACUAGGAACAAACAACUUCUCUUACGUACAAAUUUCACCACUUAAUUACGUACUUCUAGAUUCAAGGAGCCAUAUGGAGUUUCAGUGGUUUUUCUGUAGCUAAAAAAGUACUGGAAAAUGUACAUCAGAAGCACUUCCAGAUGUGCUUCGCUGAUGUAGUUUUGAAGUACAUUUGUCUGUACUUUUAAUGGAGGGGAAAUUCAUUUCAUCUUGCAUGCAAGAAAGAGAUAGAUGCUUCCCGUAUUCUUAUAUACAGAAAGUACAUAUUGACGACUGGACCAUGUACCCUGGCGGAAAGAAGCUGAAACUACUUAUACACAUCAAGCAUCAGAAAUUGUGGAAAUAAGUAUGGAAAUUGAUUAGUGCUAUAAUGAAAUUAUUUAUAAAAAGUAAAAACAACAGUUUAAAUAAAAGUAAAAACUUGUUUUUAUAAAAAGAAAAGGUCAAACUAUAGAUUUAAAGCAAAACUAUUAUUAAAAUCGAAGCUCUUGUUGCAACUAGUGUAGUUUAAGUGUGAUCUGGUAGUUUUCCUUGCAUUUUGUUCUUUAAAUUUGUCAUAUGAACGAAAAGUUCUUAGGUGGUCAAUAUUAUAAAGUUAAUGGCACUUCAAUUUAAUCUUGUUUGUUAUAUUUCAGACAAGGGUGAGUGCUUAUCACCGACACUGUGAUUUCAGUGCAACUCAUAUAGAAAGCUUGAAAUUUAUAUGUUUCAUCUCCCAAAAAUAUGUUCGAUGAUAUAUUUAAAAAAUGGUUUCUUUUUUUCAAAGAAUCAUCCAAAAUUCAUGGUUGCACCAAAACACGAUGAAAUAACAUAACAACUUUUGCAUAGAAUUGCAUCCCUCGCAAGAAGAUUUUUGAUGUGUAUAUGUAGUUGCUUAUUUUUCCCACCAGUGUCGCAUUUUGACUUUUCUAGUUGUCAAUUUCGCCGGUUUUUUCUGUAGUUCUACGUUUGCUGGGGACAUUCAUGAUCAAUUCGAACCAAUUCCAACUCGAUCCACGUAAACUUACAAAAGAAGAUUUAAAACGAACCUUUCAGGCACAGUACACAUAAUAACCCAGCAAACGCAGAACUACAGAAAAAACCGGUGAAAUAUGUACGUAAAAGAAGUACUUCUUUUCCACUGAAAAAAGAUAGGAGCUCGGGAAAAAACUCAGUUAUAUACUUUCUGUAUAUAAGAAUACGUGAAGCAGCUAUCUCUUUCUUGCAUGCAAGAUGAAAUAAAAUUUCCCCUCCAUUAAUAGUACAGACAAAUGUACUUCAAAAGUGCAUCAGCGAAGCACUUCUGGAAGUGGUUCUGAUGUACAUUUUCCAUUACUUUUUUACCUACAGAAAAAGCACUGAAACUUGUACUUUUAAAGUACUUAUUUGGAGCACUUUCAUGGGUUUAUAUCCGUACUGCUAAAAUCCAUAUUUUAAUUUCAUCUGAAAAUAAAAAAAUCUUCAAAACAAACAAACAAUUCUUUUAAACAACUAUUAUUUAAUAUUUUAUUGGAAAAACACAAAAUUCUUUUUUUUAAACAA